AUUGAACGCUGGCGGCAUGCCUUACACAUGCAAGUCGAACGGCAGCAUGGAGAGCUUGCUCUCUGAUGGCGAGUGGCGAACGGGUGAGUAAUGCAUCGGAACGUACCGUGUAAUGGGGGAUAACGUAGCGAAAGUUACGCUAAUACCGCAUACGACCUGAGGGUGAAAGCAGGGGAUCGCAAGACCUUGCGUUCUACGAGCGGCCGAUGUCAGAAUUAGCUAGUUGGUGAGGUAAAGGCUCACCAAGGCGACGAUCUGUAGCGGGUCUGAGAGGAUGUUCCGCCACACUGGGAGUGGGACACGGCCCAGACUCCUACGGGAGGCAGCAGUGGGGAAUUUUGGACAAUGGGGGCAACCCUGAUCCAGCCAUGCCGCGUGAGUGAAGAAGGCCUUCGGGUUGUAAAGCUCUUUCGGCCGGGAAGAAAUCGCACAGGCUAAUACUCUGUGUGGAUGACGGUACCGGCAUAAGAAGCACCGGCUAACUACGUGCCAGCCGCCGCCGUAA
rnacentral:rRNA from 1 species